CAGUCCCGUGCUCGGUGUAGGGGGAGGAAAUGGGGAGCCCGGGAGAAACCUGAGAGCCCUGUGGAUCCCUGUGCUGCUAACGUCUUCACGAGCCAAUGAUCCUUUCCGGGAGGAAGAAGCGGGAGGCAGGAAGCUCUCUGCCAUGGGCUCCAGGUUCUGUUGAGAGAGUCAUCUACUUUCCUCUGUCACUGCCACUAGAAAGGUGUGAUGUCCCCAGAGGAAUGUGGGCACCUUGUGCUGCAAACGUGGACUCAACGAAACUAAAUUUAAAAAUAAACAAAACAGGGCUGGGGAUUUAGCUCAGUGGUUUUGCCGCCUGCUGUGCAAGCACAAGGACCUGAGUUCGAUCCCCGAUACCAAAAAAAAAAUCUUUUAAUUUUCUUUGUGUCCUUUGGGUGCAGUGGGAGCAGAAGGUGACAGCAGAACCUGGCGGGCUCUGGUGCUGUCGCCGCGCAGUGAGUGACCCGGUGCCUCUGCCAGAAACCCAGGUGGGUUAAUCAUUGUCAGCAGCGCAUGCUUGGCUGAGCUAUCACUAUCUCUGGUGCGGCGAGAAAGUUCAGCGUGAGGACCUUGACCUGUGCAUCUGUGGACCAGGUGGCAGGGGCCUGGCUGUCAGGCAGGGGGACACCGUGUCCACAGGAAAGGCCCCAGGGCUCGGCGCACGCCCUCAGCAAAGCGUCCCUGGCUCUGCCAGGAGCAAAUGGAGCUGCAGGCCUCCAUGGAAACCGGUGCCUCCCUGUGCCGCCUCCCUCUCCUCUGCUCCCCGGGAAGCAUUGUUCAGCCAGGAAGCCCCGCUUCCACCAGCACCGGUUCCCUCCUGGCAGUGGUGGACUCUUUCCCCUUCCGGUGCCAGGGCUCUCUAGCUGUCAGGCCUCACGUGCUGUUGAAGGCAGCCCCUUCCUGCCGGGGGCUAAGCUCGGCAUACAGCGCACUGUGGAGGUGGGGCGAGGAAGGUAGCUUAGGAAAAUGGAGUCGGCCAGGCGAGGUACCAGCCCUGGGAAGCUGAGGCAGGAGGAUCUCUGGGAAUUGGAGG
rnacentral:lncRNA from 1 species